UGCUAAGCUUUUAUUUUUACCUUUUCUUUUCCCUUCAAUUUUUUUCCCCUCUAAAUCUUCUGCCGCCUAAAUAUUAUAUCACUUCUCUGAUUUGCCCAAAAAAGGAAAACCUACGCCUCUAAGAAUUAGGUCUCAUUCUUAAAAAAGCUUUUACAAUUUUCCUGGUGUAAGAAAACCUUCGCCUCUAGCAACCAAAAUUUUCGCCAAUUGAAUGAUACUUGUGUACUUAAAAUCAUAUGUUUGUAAUCGUGCAAACCCAGAAGGUUCAAUAGCAGAAGCAUAUAUCGCAAAUGAGUGCAUGAAUUUUGCUCGCGAUAUUUGGAGGGUAGACAUUUACGGUCUUAUUGGUAAAAAAAAAGUGAUGUUGAGAUUGAGCAUGAGACUAAUAGAGAAGGAUGUCUUUUCCCUACUGUUAGGGAGCUGUAUGGUCAAGUAGAUGUAUUUGAGUUGGAUGAGAAAACAUGGUUGCAAGCACAUCGACAUGUGCUUUUCAAUUGUGAAUCAGAUGUGGUUGAGAAUUACAAAAAAACAUAUUGCUGAAAUCAAGAGAUUACAUCGUAAGCGUCGUCUUACACAACAUCAACUCGAUCGGUUGCAUUUUGAUACAUUUCAUGAGUGGUUCAAGGAAAAAGAACUAUGCGGACUAGAGGUGGCAAAAGAUUGGUAAUUGAACAACAUGAUUAUGAAAGUGUACGACCUUAUAUUGAGCAAUUGAUGGAUGGUCAGAACCACUCUCAGACCCAAUCACAUGAUAAUCAAUCUACUGAAUUGUAUAGUUCUUCUGGCACUGAAGUUCAAGAGAAUGAAGAAUCAGGGAAGAAAAUUGAUGUGCAAUUUAAUAAUCGCAACCAAGCCAUCGGAAAAGAGGGUCGAAAGCUUGCUAGCUUUCUAGGCAUUAUCGCAAGAACUCCAGAUCUAACACCUCUACACAUAGAUGAUUGGCGAAGUUUUGAUAAAGAAGAAAAGAAGAAAUUGCUAGAGUUUGUAAGGAAAAAGUUCUCUAUCCCAACACGUGGAGAAGCAUAUGUCGUAAAGUCAAUUGGAAAAAAAUGAAAAGAUUACAAAUCCGAUUUAAAAUGUGAAUAUUUGGAAAAAUAUAAAACCAAAGAUGCUUUGCUGAAGAAUAGACCAGCAAGUCGCAUACCAAGGGAUCAAUGGACUGGUCUUGUUUCUUAUUGGCUUUCUGAUAAAGCUAAGAUGUGUACCCAGGCAAAUAGAAAUAAUAGGGUUAAACAAAAUAUACCUCACACAGGAGGAUCCAAAAGUAUUGCCACCUUAAUAGAUGAGCAGGCCAAGAAUGAUAUAGAGCCUACACGAGCAGAAAUAUUUAUACUGACACACAAAAAACGUAAGGAUGGUAGACUAUUGGAUGAGGAAUCUGCAAAGGCAGUUGACAUGAUGAACGAAAGGUUGGGGGAUACUGACGGAUCAAAUGACCAACCUCUCCGCAGUGUUGCUUGGGAAGGAGAUGUGUAUUCCCAAGUGCUUAGAAAUAAUAAAAGUGGGUUAAAUAGUACGAUGUGAAAGAUUUCAGUACGAGGAAGAUUUGCAGAAUUGUUUGAGGGCUUCUACUCUUUUGUUAUUAUGAAUAUUAUAUAGAAUUAGCGAUAAUAACAUUGGUUAUUUUGUUUGAACAAUAUAAUUUUAUCUUACAUGUCGUUGAUACAUUAGUAAGAUUAAUACUUUCUUUUGUUUUUCUAGAUUGAAUGAAAUAUAUUAUGUUUUUAUGA